GGUCAAGUAGAAAAGGGCGCACGGUGAAUGCCUAGGCACUAACAGCCGAUGAAGGACGUGACGAACUACGAAAAGCUUCGGGGAGCGGUAAGUACGCAGUGAUCCGGAGAUGUCCGAAUGGGGGAACCCAAUGCAGCGAUGCAUUAUUGGUUGAUGAAUAGAUAGUCAAUCAAAGGAAGACGCAGUGAACUGAAACAUCUAAGUAGCUGCAGGAAGAGAAAGAAAAAUCGAUUUCCUUAGUAGCGGCGAGCGAAGAGGAAAGAGCCCAAACCAAGUGAUUUAUCAUUUGGGGUUGUAGGACUGCAAAGUGGGUAGCGUAAGCGAUAGUUGAAUCAUCUGGGAUGGUACCCCACAGACGGUUAGAGCCCCUUAGCCAAAUUGCCAGCGCCCCCUAGCAGAAUUUUUCAAUUUGAGCGGAGCACUAAAGUAUUCCCUUUUGAAACCCCCUGGACGAUCCCAUUUUAGCCAAGGGCUAAAUAUCUUCCAUUACCGUGAACCCAAGGUGAAAAACCCCACUGCCCUGGUGGGAAAAACGGUUGAAAAACCUCCCCCCCUAAGUGGUCUUGCCAAAAUAAUGCUUAAUCGCGUUUCUUUUCCAUAAUUUCAAAUCCAGUUACGCUCCGCAGCGAGGUUAAGUCAGAAAAGACGGAGCCGGAGCGAAAGCGAGUCUGAAUAGGGCGAAGAGUUAGGUGACGUAGACCCGAAACCAAGUGACCUACCCAUGGCCAGGCUGAAGGUGUGGUAAAACGCACUGGAGGGCCGAACCCACGUAAGUUAAAAAUUGCGGGGAUGAGCUGUGGGUAGCGGUGAAAUUCCAAACGAACUUGGAGAUAGCUGGUUCUCUCCGAAAUAGCUUUAGGGCUAGCCUCGUGGAGAGGAUAAUGGAGGUAGAGCUCUGUUUGGACUAGGGGCCCGUCAGGGGUUACUGAAUCCAGAUAAACUGCGAAUUCCAUAUAUCCAUACACGGGAGUCAGACUGCGAGUGAUAAGAUCCGUAGUCGAAAGGGAAACAGCCCAGAUCACCAGUUAAGGUCCCCAAAUCUAUGCUAAGUGGAAAAGGAUGUGGAGUUGCGUAGACAACUAGGACGUUGGCUCAGAAGCAGCCAUCAUUCAAAGAGUGCGUAAUAGCUCACUAGUCGAGUGGCGCUGCGCCGAAAAUUUACCGGGGCUAAGCAUAGUACCCGAAACUGUGGAUGCAUCUAAAGAUGCGUGGUAGGAGAGCGUUCUAAGUGCCGCGAAGGUUAACCCAGAGGAUAAUUGGAGCCUUAGAAGUGAGAAUGCCCGUAUGAGUAGCCAAAGACAGGUGAAAAUCCUGUCCGCCCAAAGACUAAGGUUUUCUGGGGCAGGCUCGUCCGCCCAGGGUAAGUCGGGACCUAAGGCAAGGCCGAGAGGCGUAGUCGAUGGAUAACAGGUAGAAAUUCCUGUACUGUGUUUAAUCGUUAUGAGCGAUGGAGGGACGCAGGAGGUGAAACACGCAUCGAGCUGGAUCGAUGUUCAAGCAACAAGUGCGGUUAAGAGUCAAAUGCUUCUAACCAGCAACACGAGUUGUGAUGAGUAGCGAAGUAAUAGUAGCGAAGGUGAUGUAAUCACACUGCCAAGAAAAGCUUCUAGCCAGAGAGGACACACCCGUACCGCAAACCGACACAGGUAGUCGAGUGGAGAACACUAAGGUGAGCGAGAGAACUCUCGUUAAGGAACUCGGCAAAAUGACCCCGUAACUUCGGAAGAAGGGGUGCUGGCCACGAGAGUGGUUAGCCGCAGUGAAUAGGCCCAAACAACUGUUUAUCAAAAACACAGGUCUCUGCAAAAUCGUAAGAUGACGUAUAGAGGCUGACACCUGCCCGGUGCUGGAAGGUUAAGAGGAGAGCUUAGCGAAAGCGAAGGUUCGAAUUGAAGCCCCAGUAAACGGCGGCCGUAACUAUAACGGUCCUAAGGUAGCGAAAUUCCUUGUCGGGUAAGUUCCGACCUGCACCAAAGGUGUAAUGAUUUGGGCACUGUCUCAACGAGAGACUCGGUGAAAUUAUAAUACCCGUGAAGAUGCGGGUUACCCGCGACAGGACGGAAAGACCCCAUGGAGCUUUCUGUAGCUUUGAUAUUGAGUUUUUUUAAACAUGUCCAGGAUAGGUAGACCCAAGAAAGCCAGGACGCUAUUUUUGCUGAGGCAAUGUUGGGAUACUACCCUUGUUUGAAGAAUGCUCUACCCUCGACCUGUAAGCCAGGUCAGGGACAGUGUCAGGUGGGCAGUUUGACUGGGGCGGUCGCCUCCUAAAGUGUAACGGAGGCGCUCAAAGGUUCCCUCAGAAUGGUUGGAAAUCAUUCGCAGAGUGUAAAGGUAUAAGGGAGCUUGACUGCGAGAGAAACAGCUCGAGCAGGGACGAAAGUAGGACUUAGUGAUCUGGUGGUACCGUAUGGAAGGGCCAUCACUCAACGGAUAAAAGCUACCCUGGGGAUAACAGGCUUAUCUCCCCCAAGAGUUCACAUCGACGGGGAGGUUUGGCACCUCGAUGUCGGCUCGUCGCAUCCUGGGGCUGAAGUCGGUCCCAAGGGUUGGGCUGUUCGCCCAUUAAAGCGGCACGCGAGCUGGGUUCAGAACGUCGUGAGACAGUUCGGUCCCUAUCCGUCGUGGGCGUAGGAAAUUUGAGAGGAGCUGUCCUUAGUACGAGAGGACCGGGAUGGACGCACCGCUGGUGUACCAGUUGUUCCGCCAGGAGCAUCGCUGGGUAGCUAUGUGCGGAAGGGAUAAGCGCUGAAAGCAUCUAAGUGCGAAGCCCCCCUCAAGAUGAGAUUUCCUUUGCAAUAGCAGUAAGACACCUCAAAGACGAUGAGGUAGAUAGGCUGGGAGUGGAAGUUCUGUGAAGAAGGAGGGAGUCUAGUACUAAUCACGAGAACUUG
rnacentral:rRNA from 1 species